UACGUAGGGUGGCGAGCGUUGUCCGGAAUUAUUGGGCGUAAAGAGCUCGUAGGCGGUCUGUCGCGUCGAAUGUGAAAACCCGGGGCUCAACUCCGGGCUUGCAUUCGAUACGGGCAGGCUAGAGUUCGGUAGGGGAGUCUGGAAUUCCUGGUGUAGCGGUGAAAUGCGCAGAUAUCAGGAGGAACACCGGUGGCGAAGGCGGGACUCUGGGCCGAUACUGACGCUGAGGAGCGAAAGCGUGGGGAGCGAACAGG
rnacentral:rRNA from 1 species